UGAACAUCAGACUCUGAGGCCUCAUCUUUCACUGUCAUUUUCCAACCUGAUUGAGGAUGGCUUGUUGUCAGGCUCAAAAAGCCUCAAAUUUGCUUGAAUGGCCACUGAUUUUUCAACCCUUGUAUUGGUCAGCCUGUUGUGUUCUUUGGUAUGCGUGUGUUCCCAAACAAGGACCAGUUGCGCUCUGAUUUGGAUGAUGAUGGAGGCAACAGGGGAAAGACCCUCAGAUCCACAACGUCCCUCCCACUAGGUGGCUGAUGAGAUAUGUUGGCACAACUGCCAUAUUGCAUCUCCAUCCCAAAGCCCUUGCUUGGAAGUAUACUUCGCCCAACUGCCAAGAACCUUGCCCUCAUCCAGGCCAAGGUGGCGAGACACGGUAGUGAUGACACCAUAUGGCUUGUUGAUCUCUGCACCAGACAGGGUGCUCUUGCCAGCAUACUUGGGGUCCAACAUGUACGCUGCGGCAUGUAUGGGUUUCACGCAGAAGUGUUCACACUUUUUGAUUUAUUUCAGAACUGCAGUUUCCUCUGCUUGGAGCAACAGUGAAGUGGGCAUGGCAGUAUGAAUUUAUUCUCUUACAUCUGCAAGCAGGGUCUGAACAUCAGACAGGAUGGCAUUGUCUCCCUAAAUCUGUGCAAUGGCUACUGCUAUAGGUUUCAGGCUGCUUACCACUCUCUCCCAAAAUACAUCAUCAAGGGGGGAUCCUCUUGGUGGAGCUGUCCAUAUCGGCAGACUGUGAUAUGGCAAUUUCUUGGAGAGACUCCUUCCCCUCAUGGGAACUGCCAAACAUGAUGACAACCCCACCCCAACGGGUGUUGAUGGGCAGAUUCAAUGUGGUGCUCUUAUUCUUCUCACUUGGUGAGGUAGAUUGCUGCUAUAACUUGAUGACCCUUCACAUACCUAACCAUUUUCUUGGCUAUCUUGUAGAGUGUAUCCAUUGUUUUCAGUGCCAUAAUGUCCUUGAGAAGCAGAUUCAAUACAUGAGCAGCACAGCCAUUGGGUGUGAAGUGAAGGUAGGACUCCACUUUAGACCAAGCAGCCUUUAUGUUCGCAGCAUUGUCUGUCACCAGUGCAAAUACCUUCUGUUGUCCAAAGUCAUUGAUGACUGCCUUCUGCAAUGUAGAGACCGGUGUGUCUGUUGUCCCUUGUUUUGCUCUUGUAGAAUACUGGUUGAGGGGUGGAGAUGAUAUAGUUAGUUAUUCCUUGCCCACGGACAUUCGACCACCCAUCAGAGAUGAUUGCAAUACGGUCUGCUUUCUCUGAUUUUCUUGACCUUCACUUGAACUCUGUUGAACUCUGUAUCUAGCAAAUGAGUAGAUAAAGCAUGUCUAGUUGGAGGGGUGUAUGCUGGGCGAAGAACAUUACAAAAAUCUCUUCAAUACACAUUGCCUGUGAGAAUCAGAGGUGAACCAGUUGCAUACACAGCUCGAGCAAGACAUUCCCCAGCAUUUCUGACUACGUUCGCUAUUGAGUUAAAAAAAAACUUCUGAUUCCAGGAGGACCAUGAGCUGUUAAUAUUGAUAAGGUGUCUGAUUCAUCAUUUUCACUUUGAUUAGAAGUAGAGAUACUUUUGUCAGAGGUUGCUUGUUGUGAGCACUGAGGAAACUUUAUGCACUUUGCCAGAUGAUUCUGCAUUUUUGUUGCAUUCUUCACAUAUGAUUUGGCACAGUAUUUGCAAAUGUACACAGCUUUUCCUUCUACAUUAGCUGCAGUGAAAUGUCUCCACACAUCAGGAAAGAUUAGAAAUAAUUCAUUUUUAUCAUAGGUACACUUCAACCGUGAGAGACGGAAUCUAAAACAAACAUCCAGGAAAUCAUAUUGUAUUAUUUUUAAGUAAUUCAUUUGCAUUUUAUUUCAUGACAUAAGUAUUUGAUACAUCAGAAAAGCAGAACUUAAUAUUUGGUACAGAAACUUUUGUUUGCAAUUACAGAGAUCAUACGUUUCCUGUAGUUCUUGACCAGGUUUGCACACACUGCAGCAGGGAUUUUGGCCCACUCCUCCAUACAGACCUUCUCCAGAUCCUUCAGGUUUCGGGGCUGUCACUGGGCAAUACGGACUUUCAGCUCCCUCCAAAGAUUUUCUAUUGGGUUCAGGUCUGAAGACUGGCUAGGCCACUCCAGGACCUUGAGAUGCUCCUUACGGAGCCACUCCUUAGUUGCCCUGGCUGUGUGUUUCGGGCCGUUGUCAUGCUGGAAGACCCAGCCACGACCCAUCUUCAAUGCUCUUACUGAGGGAAGGAGGUUGUUGGCCAAGAUCUCGCAAUACAUCCAUCCUCCCCUCAAUACGGUGCAGUCGUCCUGUCCCCUUUGCAGAAAAGCAUCCCCAAAGAAUGAUGUUUCCACCUCCAUGCUUCACGAUUGGGAUGGAGUUCUUGGGGUUGUACUCAUCCUUCUUCUUCCUCCAAACACGGCGAGUGGAGUUUAGACCAAAAAGCUCUAUUUUUGUCUCAUCAGACCACAUGACCUUCUCCCAUUCCUGACCAGGUGCUGCCGUGUAGUUCUGGGCUGAUCCCUCACCUUCCUCAUGAUCAUUGAUGCCCCACGAGGUGAGAUCUUGCAUGGAGCCCCAGACUGAGGGUGAUUGACCGUCAUCUUGAACUUCUUCCAUUUUCUAAAAAUUGCACCAACAGUUGUUGCCUUCUCACCAAGCUGCUUGCCUAUUGUCCUGCAGCCCAUCCCUGCCUUGUGCAGGUCUACAAUUUUAUCCCUGAUGUCCUUACACAGCUCUCUGGUCUUGGCCAUUGUGGAGAGGUUGGAUUCUGUUUGAUUGAGUGUGUGGACAGGUGUCUUUUAUACAGGUAACAAGUUCAAAAAGGUGCAGUUAAUACAGGCAAUGAGUGGAGAACAGGAGGGCUUCUUAAAGAAAAACUAACAGAUUCCGUCUCUCACAGUUGAAGUGUACCUAUGAUCAAAAUUACAGACCUCUACAUGCUUUCCUGGUGGUGCAGUCACCUCCCUUAGAGGGAGCGGGUCAUGCAGGGGUUGUUGGAGAGUGUGCAUGUUCCUUGCCAGAUGCACUGCGAGGGGAGCUGUGGUUGGACUGCUCCAACUCUGGAGAUGAUCCUCAAGGCCCUCCUCUGCACCCUGUCUAGUUGGGCCUGCUGCUUUUUACUGCAUCCAACUAACAGCACUCCACCGUUUUCCAGACAAGGUCUGACCAGUAUAGUAUAGACUGUGACCAGAUCUUCAGUGAGUAGGCCAUUUCUGGCAAGACCAUUCAAAAAGUGCAGACAUUUUGAGGCCUUCCUCACUGACUGCUCCGCAUGUGUGUCACCACUGAGGUUAGAGUCUAGAUGAAAACCGAUAUAUUUAGUUGUUGUUACCACUGGUACUUCCUGUCCUUCUAGGAUUAGUGGUGCGGGUUGUGGAUGGUCUCAAUAAUAACAUAUCUGAAUUUCCACAGACUUUUUUUCCA